CUAGAUGAGAGGGGACCUCAUUGCGGGGUGGGGGGAAUGGCGCAAAAUGUCACAAGAAAACAGCACCGUCACAGAGAAUAUAUGGACAGCACUAGAGCACCUGCACAGGAUCUGUUCCAACUGAGAGCGAAAACUGGAUUAAAUCUACUUGUGGACCUUUGACUUGUUUGUGGUCAUGCCGGAUUUAUCAAGAAAACAGUCUUGGCAUAACCAGCAGGAUCAGAUGACACAGGCCGACUCCUCGCUGGCCGCAGCACAGUGUAACACCGUGCCAGCGCUGUGUUUAUCGUCCAGGAGUGUUUGGGGAGACGUCCCGUCCUGUACUGGAUCGGCACAAAAGGCCAAGAGAAAGAAUGCCGUUGGCUUUGAGGAAUAUUUAGAUAAGAGUGAUAAUUUGGGCCAAAUCAAAAUAGAUUAAAAGACGACUGUAGGUGCGACUACAGCAGGGUGUGUCUUUCUCUCACCGGCCCCCUCUGUGAAUAAGUGUCCAGGGAAAGUGUUUCAUGGUCAGAGGAGGUGAAAGAGGGAUUAACGUGGAAGAUGGACAGAAAGGGUGAUGCGGUGAGAAACAGCUGAGAGCGUAAAUCAGAUGGAUGAAGCUGACAGAGGGGUAAAAUGAUGAAGAACAGGGUGUCACAGAGAAACAGCUGGUGAGAGAGUAGAUGAAAGGUGCCCAAGCGCGUAGUCAAACCUACAGAAACUUCUGCUGUAAUGUCACAUACUUGAUAGCGUAAAAAGUGAGUGCAGCUUAGGAAAUCAGGGGGAAAAAGCAAAAGAAGGCUGCGCAGAAACUCGACUGGAACACGCAGGUUCGAAGACUUGUUGACAUUUCCUAUUAUAUCUCGACAGAUUAGAACAGCGGCGUCCCUUAGUGUUGUUCAGAGUUCAAAGAAGCACAAAGACCCACCCACUCGCAGAAGCAUGUCCACGAGACAUGAAUAUGUAGCGGUGUUUACCACAGCACAGAACAUUUUAUUCUCCACUCGAGAGCCACGCCCCAGAGGAGCCCGAGAUGCACCACAGCACAUCGCAUCGCAGCGCUUCCCCCUUUCACUCCCGGUUCCUCUUGUUUACAGGAAGCAGCUGGAGGGAGAACGCCUUAUACUUCAGAUCUGUCAAGUCUCACUCAUCUUAUCUAUGUUUUCUUAGGUUCCACCGUGUCCACAGCAACACUGCUCCUCCAGGCACGGACGACGGCAUGACAGCUCAUAGCCAGACCACAGCAGAAUAAACAACACAUUUUUUGAAGAUUACAGUACAGAUUACAGGAGGCCUAUUAGACACAUUAGCUUUUGGAUGAAAGAUAAACAAAGUUAGAAUGAAGGCUGCAGAGAGCCACAGUCCUGCCACAUUAAGAUACAAACCUGCUGCUACUGGCAACAGCACAGAGACGCAGCAGAUCACAACGACACUGCCGCCACUGCAGACACGACAAAUGUCAACAAGUCUCUUUUAAGACCAUUAAGCUCUUUUGGAUUUUCUGAUGCUGUCGGGUGAAAAACACUGCAGCUCAUGUCAUGAUUAUUUUCACGUGUUAAAGUGUUCUUCUUAAUUUGCAACUUUUUCACCUGGCAGCACUUUUUCUUUUUGUGUUAUUUCCUCUGCCAUCAUUUAUCUUCCUUUUAAGUCUUGGUGUCAGUUUUAUCAUGAGAUGACUCUUAUUUAAGACCCCGUGCAGGAAAAAAAAGGUCCCCUGUGGAGGUGAAAUUGUUUGAUCAGGUUUUUCAGUUAUUAUACACAAAUGUCUAUUGCUGUACAUAUGUGUGUCUAAUUAAAAAAAAAAAUGGGCUCAUUCUGUUAAGCAUGACACUGUAAGCAAGGAAACAACUGGUGACCUGCAUUAUUCCAGAUCAGGUAGACACACUUUUGAAAGGAAAAAAAAAAAACAGAACACUGUGAUGGUUUUUUGUUCUUUGUUAGGACCCCCACACCUGAACAGAAACACAAGUCCCACAAAAAAAGACGUAACUUCAUCAAACAAACUGUUGGGGAUUGAAAAUGUUAAUCUGUGUGUGCUGAUUGUAUUUUAAACAUGUAUGACGUGACAGCGAAGGGAAGAAGAGGUCAGACUUUAUAUAUAUAUAUAUAUACACACACACACACGUGUUAGGGGAAAAUAAAAGCUCGGCCUUGUGUACUAAUCUAGCACUAACGUCAGCUAAAGCUACUGUAGCCAGGCAGCAGCUCAAGCUGUGGAAGAAGCUGCGUCUCAGCAGCACGACAGAGCCUGGAUCGUGUAUCCUGCACCAACAUGACGCCCAGCCUGCUUUCACGCACAGCCAGAGGCCCACUGCUGAUUCAGGAUCUCUCUCCAAUGAGACUGUACGAACACGCCUUUGACUACUUGAAUCAACUCUGACCAGAACGAUCAAAAAAAAAAAGGUCAGAAACAUCAUGAACGAGGAGAUGCAGAUCUGACAGCGCGGCAGACUUGUCUGGAAGAAGCUGCCCUCCGUCUGAACCUAAUCAAUGUCAUGUUGCUCAUUAGAAGAAAAAAAAAACGGAAAAAGAAACUGUGUCGUAAGCAUUACUGAUGGAAAGCUGUUUGAGAUUUAUUUCUGUAUUGUCUUGCGUGUUUGUUAUUAAAGAUGCUUAAAUGAUUAAAACGGUCUUAGCUCGGCCAGGCCAAACUGAAAACAACAGUGUUUUUUGUGCCCUCGCUAAUCCUUCUCUGUGUUGUGAGUCCAUUGUGAGAACUUUUCUUUCUUUGCAGACAUGCCAUGUGUGACGUUGUGUGUUUUGCUUCACUGUACGUGUCACUAAAAUGCACACAGCACCUUGGACAGAAAGGUACUGGAAUAAAAAACGCUUGAUUGUGUGUCUAUUCAA